rnacentral:rRNA from 1 species
UACGUAGGUGACCAGCGUUGUCCGGAUUUACUGGGCGUAAAGAGCGCGCAGGCGGUCGUUCAAGUCGAGUGUGAAAGCCCCCGGCUCAACUGGGGAGGGUCACUCGAUACUGAUCGACUUGAAGGCAGGAGAGGGAAGCGGAAUUCCCGGUGUAGUGGUGAAAUGCGUAGAUAUCGGAAGGAACACCAGUGGCGAAAGCGGCUUCCUGGUCCAGCACCGACGUCAGGCACGAAAGCGUGGGGAGCAAACAGG